AAUCAUGGACGCCAACGAGGCGACGAGGAUGGUGUUCUCCAAGAUACAGAAUCUGGACCCGGAGAACGCCCCCAGGAUUAUGGGCCUUCUCUUGCUGCAGGAUGACGCCGAGAAGGAGGUCAUUCGCUUGGCCUUCGGCCACGAAGCCCUCCUCCACGCCGUGGUGGUGAAGGCCAAGGAGGAGCUUGGCCUCGCUCCGCCACCCUCUGCCGGCGGCUCCGCAGCUCCCCCCUACCUCCUCCGUCUGAACUCCGCCAAGCGCCUGCUCGCCGUCUCGUCCCCUUCCUCGGGGGCCCCGAACUCUGUGUUCUCCCGC
rnacentral:lncRNA from 1 species